GGAAUUGAAACUGGUCCUCUGUAAGAGCA
rnacentral:piRNA from 1 species